rnacentral:rRNA from 1 species
GAGACCUGUGCCUACAAUUGCUAACGAACGAUUUAUCGGGAUCGAGCACAUUGUAGGGACUGCCUGUGAAAACAGGAGGAAGGUGCAGGCUACGGUAGGUCUGUAUGCUCCGAAUCUUCUGGGCUACACGCGCGCAACAAUGGUAGGGACAAUGGGAUACAACUCCGAAAGGAGAAGUUAAACCUCUAAACCCUAUCUUAGUCCAGAUUGAGGGUUGUAACUCACCCUCAUGACGCUGGAAUCCCUAGUAAUCGGAUUUCAUCACACUCCGGUGAAUAU